GUAAAGCAGAAUCCGAGAAUUCAAUCGGCGGCUGUAUGUUGACUGACAAGAAUAUAAUUGGUGUUAAUCCGGCCCUGCUUCUUGUACAAAUGCAUAGUGGGGAGACAUGAACAUUUUUCGAAAUUGCGGCCCUAUCCUCUUGGGAUUCUACGUUGGACAAAUUCUGAAAACGACCCAGAAAUAUAAUUGGUGAGAAAAUAGUUUUUUUGUUGUGUUAACAGUUAACAAUUUUUUAUUUUGGAAAUAAGGGGUUUCAGUGUGUACUGGUAUUAGUGAAUCAAUUUAAUGACCUCAGCAUCUCUAAACCCCCAUCUUGAGACGCGUUAACGAUCCGGAUCGAGUUACGUCGCGUAAUUGUGUCACUUUUUUAAUUAAAAAAUGAAAGAGAUGUACCUACCAUACUUUAGAAACCCCUACUCCCCUUUGGAGGUGAUGAAAUAAGUUUUGGCAUAAAAUAUAAGUUCCUCGUAUUACUUUGAUAUGAUAAGUAUAAGUCUGCCUGUUUUUUUUUUAAAGGAGGUUCAAACCCGUGCGAGGUGAGGUUUAAUAUAUGAAACAGACCAGUCAUGGGGACACGAGAUAUGCAAAGUUUCAGCGUAGUCGUCGCCACAUUGCUGCCAACACUGCAUAUAUAAGGAAUCACGAACCAUUCAGGAAUAUUGAGACUUAGACCAGUAUCUUUUUAAGUAGGCAUGUGGGGUAAAGAAGACGCAGAAGCUUCAGUCGGGUACCAUCGGUAACGUAGGCGAUUAAUAUAUUUCCACCACUACAUAUGUUGGAUUGGAAUUUCCCAUUUGAUGCUUUGACUGACUAAAUGAGGAAACUUGGAGAUAUUAUUGGUGGUGCCUGCCAGCUUCCAGUUCCGAGAAAAGAAAUCCAAUACUUUUCGUCUUUAUUUCCCCUGUCCUUUGUGCGCAAUAAAAGUACAGUUUGUACCCGCGAGGGUACACAUUCGCAGAACUAUAUGUUUUUAAAAUAAAUGUUAUGGUCAAUAUUCACUAGGUGGGUUACCUUAUUAAAGAAAAUCUUAUUCCAAGAGGGGACACUAGUUUACAUUCGAACCGCUAGAGGGUGCAGAUGGUCACGCGAACAAUAUGAUCAAGUCUCAUUGACGCCAUUGCUUUUCUUAGGGGUGGGAAAAUAUCUGGGCUCUGA